rnacentral:rRNA from 1 species
UUCUGACCGUAAACUAUGCCAACUAGCGAUCCGCCGGUGGAUUUUUAGCCCUGGUGGGAAGCUUCCCGGAAACGAAAGUCUUCCGGUUCCGGGGGAAGUAUGGUUGCAAAGCUGAAACUUAAAGGAAUUGACGGAAGGGCACCACCAGGAGUGGAGCCUGCGGCUUAAUUUGACUCAACACGGGGAAACUCACCCGGCCCGGACACCGUAAGGAUUGACAGAUUGAUAGCUCUUUCAUGAUUCGGUGGAUGGUGGUGCAUGGCCGUUCUUAGUUCGUGGACCGAUCUGUCUGGUUUAUUCCGAUAACGAGCGAGACUCUAGCCUACUAAAUAGUAGCGGGAUUGUCUAUUGUCCCGGUUGCUUCUUAGAGGGAUUUUCGGCGUUUAGCCGCACGAGAUUGAGCAAUAACAGGUCUGUGAUGCCCUUAGAUGUCCGGGGCUGCACGCGCGCUACACUGGCGCAAUCAGCGUGCUGUAUCCUUGUCCGAUGGGACUAGGUAAACCCUUGAAAAUUCGCCGUGCUUGGGAUCGGAAAUUGCAAUUAUUUUCCGUGAACGAGGAAUUCCAAGUAAGUGCGAGUCAUCAACUCGCUCUG